UACGGAGGAUGCGAGCGUUAUCCGGAUUUAUUGGGUUUAAAGGGUGCGUAGGCGGCCUGUUAAGUUAGUGGUUAAAUGUCGGGGCUAAACCCCGGAUUGCCAUUAAAACUGGCGGGCUCGAGUACAGACGAGGUAGGCGGAAUAAGUCAAGUAGCGGUGAAAUGCUUAGAUAUGACUUAGAACUCCGAUAGCGAAGGCAGCUUACCAGGCUGAGACUGACGCUGAAGCACGAGAGCGUGGGUAGCGAACAG
rnacentral:rRNA from 1 species